AACAUGGCACAAUGGGCGAAAGCCUGAUGCAGCAACGCCGCGUGAGCGAUUAAGGCUUUCGGAUCGUAAAGCUCUGUCCUUGGGGAAGAAGGUCUUCGGACUUGACGGUACCUAAGGAGGCAGCCCCGGCUAACUACGUGCCAGCAGCCGCGGAAAUACGUAGGGGGCAAGCGUUGUCCGUCAUUUUUGGGCGUAAAGGGUGCGUAGGCGGCCUUUUAAGUCAGGUCUGAAAGCCCACGGCUUAACCGUGGGAUGGCAUUUGAAACUGGAAGGCUUGAGUAUCGGAGAGGGUAGUGGAAUUCCCAGUGUAGCGGUGGAAUGCGUAGAUAUUGGGAGGAACACCAGUGGCGAAGGCGACUACCUGGACGAAAACUGACGCUGAGGCACGAAAGCUAGGGGAGCAAAC
rnacentral:rRNA from 1 species